AGCGAACGCUGGCGGCAGGCCUAACACAUGCAAGUCGAGCGCCCGGCAACGGGAGCGGCAGACGGGUGAGUAACGCGUGGGGAUCUACCCAUUGGUACGGAAUAACCCAGGGAAACUUGGAUUAAUACCGUAUAAGCCCUUCGGGGGAAAGAUUUAUCGCCAAUGGAUGAACCCGCGUCGGAUUAGCUAGUUGGUGGGGUAAAGGCCCACCGAGGCGACGAUCCGUAGCUGGUCUGAGAGGAUGAUCAGCCACACUGGGACUGAGACACGGCCCAGACUCCUACGGGAGGCAGCAGUGGGGAAUAUUGGACAAUGGGCGCAAGCCUGAUCCAGCCAUGCCGCGUGAGUGAUGAAGGCCUUAGGGUUGUAAAGCUCUUUCGCCGGUGAAGAUAAUGACGGUAACCGGAGAAGAAGCCCCGGCUAACUUCGUGCCAGCCGCCGCCGUAACAC
rnacentral:rRNA from 1 species